AACAGGAUUAGAUACCCUGGUAGUCCACGCUGUAAACGAUGUCGAUUUGGAGGUUGUGCCCUUGAGGCGUGGCUUCCGGAGCUAACGCGUUAAAUCGACCGCCUGGGGAGUACGGCCGCAAGGUUAAAACUCAAAUGAAUUGACGGGGGCCCGCACAAGCGGUGGAGCAUGUGGUUUAAUUCGAUGCAACGCGAAGAACCUUACCUGGUCUUGACAUCCACAGAACUUUCCAGAGAUGGAUUGGUGCCUUCGGGAACUGUGAGACAGGUGCUGCAUGGCUGUCGUCAGCUCGUGUUGUGAAAUGUUGGGUUAAGUCCCGCAACGAGCGCAACCCUUAUCCUUUGUUGCCAGCGGUCCGGCCGGGAACUCAAAGGAGACUGCCAGUGAUAAACUGGAGGAAGGUGGGGAUGACGUCAAGUCAUCAUGGCCCUUACGACCAGGGCUACACACGUGCUACAAUGGCAUAUACAAAGAGAAGCGACCUCGCGAGAGCAAGCGGACCUCAUAAAGUAUGUCGUAGUCCGGAUUGGAGUCUGCAACUCGACUCCAUGAAGUCGGAAUCGCUAGUAAUCGUAGAUCAGAAUGCUACGGUGAAUACGUUCCCGGGCCUUGUACACACCGCCCGUCACACCAUGGGAGUGGGUUGCAAAAGAAGUAGGUAGCUUAACCUUCGGGAGGGCGCUUACCACUUUGUGAUUCAUGACUGGGGUGAAGUCGUAACAAGGUAACC
rnacentral:rRNA from 1 species